rnacentral:rRNA from 1 species
GACGAACGCUGGCGGCGUGCUUAACACAUGCAAGUCGAACGGAAAGGCCCCUUUGGGGGUACUCGAGUGGCGAACGGGUGAGUAACACGUGAGUAACCUGCCCUUGACUUCGGGAUAACUUCAGGAAACUGGGGCUAAUACCGGAUAGGAAUCCUUGCUGCAUGGUGGGGGUUGGAAAGCUUCGGCGGUUUUGGAUGGACUCGCGGCUUAUCAGCUUGUUGGUGGGGUAGUGGCUUACCAAGGCGUUGACGGGUAGCCGGCCUGAGAGGGCGACCGGCCACAUUGGGACUGAGAUACGGCCCAGACUCCUACGGGAGGAAGCAGGGGGGAAUAUUGCACAAUGGGCGGAAGCCUGAUGCAGCAACGCCGCGUGCGGGAUGACGGCCUUCGGGUUGUAAACCGCUUUCAGCAGGGGCGAAGCUUGUGGUGACGGUACCUGCAGAAGAAGCACCGGCUAACUACGUG